UAAGGAAUAUUGGUCAAUGGACGCAAGUCUGAACCAGCCAUGCCGCGUGAAGGAUGAAGGUCCUCUGGAUUGUAAACUUCUUUUAUCUGGGACGAAAACGGGAUUUUUAUCUCAAUUGACGGUACCAUUUAUAAGCUCCGGCUAACUACGUGCCAGCAGCCGCGGUAAUACGUAGGGAGCAAGCGUUGUUCGGAUUUACUGGGCGUAAAGGGCGCGCAGGCGGCGCGGUAAGUCACUUGUGAAAUCUCUGAGCUUAACUCAGAACGGCCAAGUGAUACUGCUGUGCUGGGGUGCGGAAGGGGCAACCGGAAUUCUUGGUGUAGCGGUGAAAUGCGUAGAUAUCAAGAGGAACACCUGAGGCGAAGGCGGGUUGCUGGGCCGACACUGACGCUGAUGCGCGAAAGCCAGGGGAGCAAACG
rnacentral:rRNA from 1 species